UGUUUGCUUCUCCUGCCAUGGCUGGAAGUUUCCUGAGGCCUCCCCAGCCAUCCUGAACUAGGUACCUGGUGCCAGUUCCUGAGACUUGAGGAUUCUGGUUGGUUCUCAGCACAGGAGUCAGCCUGCUCUGAUUUGCUAGUGCGUCUAGAGUGUUGACAGUUGUUUCCAUGGACUUCAAAUCAACCCAACCCUGUGAGCACAGACUUUCAGCACCAGAGUCAGAUUUCCCAAAAAUGCUAUUCUUGAAGCGUAGAGCCAGACUCACAGAUCCUGUAAAGAAAACAGAUCUUUCAGCAAGUGAAACACCCAAUCUUCCAUUGCAUGGGACUCACAGAGGUUCUGAGGGAGAGAUGUGAAUAGAAGGAGUGAUCAUCACUGUGGACUCUAUUUCUUCCAUCUGUGCGUGCAAGAUUUAUAUCUGUAUGUGUUUGUUUUAAAGUUUUAUUGAGGUAUAAUUGAUACACAAUAAUCUGUACCUAUUUAAUGUAUACAAUUUGAUGAGUUUGGACAUACUUAAAUACCUGUGAAACCAUCACCACAAUCAAGGUAAUAGACAUAGCCAUCACCUCC
rnacentral:lncRNA from 10 species